GUGAGUCAUCGAAUCUUUGAACGCAUAUUGCGCUCGAGGCUUCGGCCAAGAGCAUGUCUGCCUCAGCGUCGGGUUAAUACUCGCCUCCCUCCUCGGGAGCGGCGGAUCUGGCCGUCCCAGCCCCAUCACCGGGCUGGGUCGGCUGAAGUGCAGAGGUUGAUGCAACGGACCCGUGAAGGGCCUCGGCUUUGGUAGUGCAACUUGUUGCUCAAUGCUAACAGCUGACGGCCUGGGACCGAUGCGUGUCAACCCAAACCAGGAAAACCCACAUAUUAACCAUUUUCUCGACCUGAGCUCAGG
rnacentral:misc_RNA from 1 species